rnacentral:rRNA from 1 species
CCUACGGGUGGCUGCAGUGAGGAAUAUUGGUCAAUGGACGAGAGUCUGAACCAGCCAAGUCGCGUGAAGGAAGACGGUUCUAUGAAUUGUAAACUUCUUUUGUGCAGGAAUAAAGUGGGUUACGUGUAACCUUUUGUAUGUACUGUACGAAUAAGGAUCGGCUAACUCCGUGCCAGCAGCCGCGGUAAUACGGAGGAUCCGAGCGUUAUCCGGAUUUAUUGGGUUUAAAGGGUGCGUAGGUGGAUUGAUAAGUCAGCGGUGAAAGUUUGCAGCUU